rnacentral:rRNA from 1 species
UGCGUAGGUGGUUUUGUAUGUCGGAUGUGAAAGCCCACGGCUCAACCGUGGAAUUGCAUCCGAAACUGCGAAGCUCGAGUGCAGGAGGGGAGAGCGGAAUUCUUGGUGUAGCGGUGAAAUGCGUUGAUAUCAAGAAGAACACCGGUGGCGAAGGCGGCUCUCUGGAAUGUUACUGACACUGAGGCACGAAAGUUGGGGUAGCAAACAGGAUUAGAUACCCUGGUAGUC